rnacentral:pre_miRNA from 1 species
GGAAUAAUUGAACCAAUUGUUAAAUCGGGAAAACGAUAUCUAAACUAUUGGGUCACUUUAUUACUUGUUACAAUCUGCACACUAUAUAUAUAUAUAUAUAUAUAUAUAUAUAUAGUGUGCAGAUUGUAACAAGUAAUAAAGUGACCCAAUAGUUUAGAUAUCGUUUUCCCGAUUUAACAAUUGGUUCAAUUAUUCC